rnacentral:rRNA from 1 species
GGCAUGCUUUACACAUGCAAGUCGAACGGUAACAGGUCUUCGGAUGCUGACGAGUGGCGAACGGGUGAGUAAUACAUCGGAACGUGCCUAGUAGUGGGGGAUAACUACUCGAAAGAGUAGCUAAUACCGCAUGAGAUCUACGGAUGAAAGCAGGGGACCUUCGGGCCUUGUGCUACUAGAGCGGCUGAUGGCAGAUUAGGUAGUUGGUGGGGUAAAGGCUUACCAAGCCUGCGAUCUGUAGCUGGUCUGAGAGGAUGACCAGCCACACUGGGACUGAGACACGGCCCAGACUCCUACGGGAGGCAGCAGUGGGGAAUUUUGGACAAUGGGCGAAAGCCUGAUCCAGCAAUGCCGCGUGCAGGAUGAAGGCCCUCGGGUUGUAAACUGCUUUUGUACGGAACGAAAAGCCUGGGGCUAAUACCCCCGGGUCAUGACGGUACCGUAAGAAUAAGCACCGGCUAACUACGUGCCAGCAGCCGCGGUAAUACGUAGGGUGCAAGCGUUAAUCGGAAUUACUGGGCGUAAAGCGUGCGCAGGCGGUUUUGUAAGACAGUGGUGAAAUCCCCGGGCUCAACCUGGGAACUGCCAUUGUGACUGCAAGGCUAGAGUGCGGCAGAGGGGGAUGGAAUUCCGCGUGUAGCAGUGAAAUGCGUAGAUAUGCGGAGGAACACCGAUGGCGAAGGCAAUCCCCUGGGCCUGCACUGACGCUCAUGCACGAAAGCGUGGGGAGCAAACAGG